UACGGAGGGGGCGAGCGUUAUUCGGAAUCAUUGGGCGUAAAGGGCGCGUAGGCGGCCGGGCAAGUCAGGGGUGAAAUCCCUCGGCUCAACCGAGGAAUUGCCUCUGAAACUGCCCAGCUCGAGGCCGGGAGAGGGUAGUGGAAUUCCCAGUGUAGCGGUGAAAUACGUAGAUAUUGGGAGGAACACCAGUGGCGGAGGCGGCUACCUGGACCGGUUCUGACGCUGAGGAGUGAAAGCGUGGGGAGCUAACAGG
rnacentral:rRNA from 1 species